AUUGAACGCUGGCGGCAGGCCUAACACAUGCAAGUCGAGCGUGAAAGUUCCUUCGGGAGCGAGUAGAGCGGCGGACGGGUGAGUAACGCGUAGGAAUCUGCCCAGUAGUGGGGGACAACAUGGGGAAACUCAUGCUAAUACCGCAUACGCCCUAAGGGGGAAAGCAGGGGAUCUUCGGACCUUGCGCUAUUGGAUGAGCCUGCGUCGGAUUAGCUAGUUGGUGGGGUAAUGGCCUACCAAGGCGACGAUCCGUAGCUGGUCUGAGAGGAUGAUCAGCCACACUGGGACUGAGACACGGCCCAGACUCCUACGGGAGGCAGCAGUGGGGAAUAUUGGACAAUGGGGGAAACCCUGAUCCAGCCAUGCCGCGUGUGUGAAGAAGGCCUUCGGGUUGUAAAGCACUUUCAAUAGGGAGGAAAAGUUAAUGGCUAAUACCCAUUAACCCUGACGUUACCUAUAGAAGAAGCACCGGCAAACUCCGUGCCAGCAGCCGCGGUAAUACGGAGGGUGCGAGCGUUAAUCGGAAUUACUGGGCGUAAAGCGCGCGUAGGCGGUUUGAUUAGCUGGAUGUGAAAGCCCCGGGCUUAACCUGGGAAUUGCAUCCAGAACUGUCAGGCUAGAGUACAGUAGAGGUGAGUGGAAUUUCCUGUGUAGCGGUGAAAUGCGUAGAUAUAGGAAGGAACAUCAGUGGCGAAGGCGGCUCACUGGACUGAUACUG
rnacentral:rRNA from 1 species